rnacentral:rRNA from 1 species
UGGGGAAUAUUGCGCAAUGGGCGAAAGCCUGACGCAGCGACGCAGCGUGAGGGACGAAGGCCUUCGGGUUGUAAACCUCUUUCAGCGGGGACGAAGCGAAAGUGACGGUACCCGCAGAAGAAGCACCGGCUAACUACGUGCCAGCAGCCGCGGUAAUACGUAGGGUGCAAGCAUUGUCCGGAUUUAUUGGGCGUAAAGAGCUCGUAGGCGGCUUGUCACGUCGGAUGUGAAAACUCGGGGCUCAACCCCGAGCCUGCAUUCGAUACGGGCUAGCUAGAGUGUUGCAGGGGAGACUGGAAUUCCUGGUGUAGCGGUGAAAUGCGCAGAUAUCAGGAGGAACACCGGUGGCGAAGGCGGGUCUCUGGGCAACUACUGACGCUGAGGAGCGAAAGCGUGGGGA